rnacentral:rRNA from 1 species
UUUNNAUNAUGGCUCAGAUUGAACGCUGGCGGCAGGCCUAAACACAUGCAAGUCGAGCGGCAGCACGGGUACUUGUACCYGGUGGCGAGCGGCGGACGGGUGAGUAAUGCCUAGGAAUCUGCCUGGUAGUGGGGGAUAACGCUCGGAAACGGACGCUAAUACCGCAUACGUCCUACGGGAGAAAGCAGGGGACCUUCGGGCCUUGCGCUAUCAGAUGAGCCUAGGUCGGAUUAGCUAGUUGGUGAGGUAAUGGCUCACCAAGGCGACGAUCCGUAACUGGUCUGAGAGGAUGAUCAGUCACACUGGAACUGAGACACGGUCCAGACUCCUACGGGAGGCAGCAGUGGGGAAUAUUGGACAAUGGGCGAAAGCCUGAUCCAGCCAUGCCGCGUGUGUGAAGAAGGUCUUCGGAUUGUAAAGCACUUUAAGUUGGGAGGAAGGGCAUUAACCUAAUACGUUAGUGUUUUGACGUUACCGACAGAAUAAGCACCGGCUAACUCUGUGCCAGCAGCCGCGGUAAUACAGAGGGUGCAAGCGUUAAUCGGAAUUACUGGGCGUAAAGCGCGCGUAGGUGGUUCGUUAAGUUGGAUGUGAAAUCCCCGGGCUCAACCUGGGAACUGCAUUCAAAACUGACGAGCUAGAGUAUGGUAGAGGGUGGUGGAAUUUCCUGUGUAGCGGUGAAAUGCGUAGAUAUAGGAAGGAACACCAGUGGCGAAGGCGACC